GACGAACGCUGGCGGCGUGCUUAACACAUGCAAGUCGAACGGAAAGGCCCUGCUUUUGUGGGGUGCUCGAGUGGCGAACGGGUGAGUAACACGUGAGUAACCUGCCCUUGACUUUGGGAUAACUUCAGGAAACUGGGGCUAAUACCGGAUAGGAGCUCCUGCUGCAUGGUGGGGGUUGGAAAGUUUCGGCGGUUGGGGAUGGACUCGCGGCUUAUCCGCUUGUUGGUGGGGUAGUGGCUUACCAAGGCUUUGACGGGUAGCCGGCCUGAGAGGGUGACCGGCGACAUUGGGACUGAGAUACGGACCAGACUCCUACGGGAGGCAGCAGUGGGGAAUAUUGCACAAUGGGCGGAAGCCUGAUGCAGCAACGCCGCGUGCGGGAUGACGGCCUUCGGGUUGUAAACCGCUUUCGCCUGUGACGAAGCGUGAGUGACGGUAAUGGGUAAAGAAGCACCGGCUAACUACGUG
rnacentral:rRNA from 1 species